rnacentral:rRNA from 1 species
GAGUUUGAUCAUGGCUCAGAUUGAACGCUGGCGGCAUGCCUAACACAUGCAAGUCGAACGGUAACAGGCCGCGUGAUCCCUUCGGGGUGAACAUGGUGCUGACGAGUGGCGAACGGGUGAGUAAUACGUGGGAAUCUGCCCAGUAGUGGGGGACAACCCGGGGAAACUCGGGCUAAUACCGCAUACGCUCUACGGAGGAAAGCGGGGGAUCUUCGGACCUCGCGCUAUUGGAUGAGCCCACGUCGGAUUAGCUUGUUGGUAGGGUAAAGGCCUACCAAGGCGACGAUCCAUAGCUGGUCUGAGAGGAUGAUCAGCCACACUGGGACUGAGACACGGCCCAGACUCCUACGGGAGGCAGCAGUGGGGAAUAUUGGACAAUGGGCGAAAGCCUGAUCCAGCAAUGCCGCGUGAGUGAUGAAGGCCUUAGGGUUGUAAAGCUCUUUUACCCGAGAUGAUAAUGACAGUAUCGGGAGAAUAAGCUCCGGCUAACUCCGUGCCAGCAGCCGCGGUAAUACAAGGG